CCUACGGGGGGCAGCAGUGAGGAAUAUUGGGCAAUGGGCGCAAGCCUGACCCAGCCAUGCCGCGUGAAGGAUGAAUGCCCUAUGGGUUGUAAACUUCUUUUGUACGGGACGAAACUUCCGGUCGUGACCGGGAUUGACUGUACCGUACGAAUAAGCAUCGGCUAACUCCGUGCCAGCAGCCGCGGUAAUACGGAGGAUGCAAGCGUUAUCCGGAUUCAUUGGGUUUAAAGGGUGCGUAGGCGGAAUAAUAAGUCAGUGGUGAAAGCCUGCGGCUUAACCGUAGAAUUGCCAUUGAUACUGUUGUUCUUGAGUAUAGUUGAGGUGGGCGGAAUGUGUAAUGUAGCGGUGAAAUGCUUAGAUAUUACACAGAACACCAAUUGCGAAGGCAGCUCACUAAGCUGUUACUGACGCUGAGGCACGAAAGCGUGGGGAGCAAACAGGAUUAGAUACCCCAGUAGUC
rnacentral:rRNA from 1 species